rnacentral:rRNA from 1 species
AUCAACGCUGGCGGCGCGCCUAACACAUGCAAGUCGAACGAGAAAGCCGGGGCAACCUGGUGAGUACAGUGGCGUACGGGUGAGUAACACGUGGGUAAUCUACCUCCUUGUGGGGAAUAACUUUGGGAAACCGGAGCUAAUACCGCAUAAGCUCGAGAGAGGAAAGCAGCAAUGCGCAGGGAGAGGAGCCCGCGGCCGAUUAGCUAGUUGGCAGGGUAAAAGCCUACCAAGGCAAAGAUCGGUAGCCGGCCUGAGAGGGCACACGGCCACACUGGCACUGAAACACGGGCCAGACUCCUACGGGAGGCAGCAGUGGGGAAUCUUGCACAAUGGGGGAAACCCUGAUGCAGCGACGCCGCGUGAGCGAUGAAGCCCUUCGGGGUGUAAAGCUCUUUCGGCAGGGAAGAUGAUGACGGUACCCGCAGAAGCAGCUGCGGCUAACUACGUGCCAGCAGCCGCGGUAAUACGUAGGCAGCAAGCGUUGUUCGGAGUUACUGGGCGUAAAGGGUGUGUAGGCGGUUUGCUUAAGUUUGGUGUGAAAUCUCCCGGCUCAACUGGGAGGGUGCGCCGAAUACUGAGUGACUCGAGUGCGGGAGAGGAAAGUGGAAUUCCUGGUGUAGCGGUGAAAUGCGUAGAUAUCAGGAGGAACAUCGGUGGUGUAGACGGCUUUCUGGACCGUAACUGACGCUGAGACACGAGAGCGUGGGUAGCAAACAGGAUUAGAUACCCUGGUAGUCCACGCCCUAAACGAUGCAUAUUUGGUGUGGGUCAUUCAGUUGAUCCGUGCCGGAGCUAACGCGUUAAAUAUGCCGCCUGGGGAGUACAGUCGCAAGGCUGAAACUCAAAGGAAUUGACGGGGGACCCGCACAAGCAGGUGGAGUAUGUGGUUCAAUUCGAAGCAACGCGAAGAACCUUACCAUGGGCUUGACAUCGGAUGACCGUCACUAGAGAUAGGGAAAUCUUUACCCUGCAAGGGGUACAGUCAGACCGGUGCUGCAUGGUUGUCGUCAGCUCGUGUCGUGAGAUGUUGGGUUAAGUCCCGCAACGAGCGCAACCCUUGAUCUGUAGUUGCCAUGCGAAUUCGUUGGGCAACUCGAAGGAUGACUGCCAGGUGACUAAGCCUGGAGGAAGGUGGGGAUGACGUCAAGUCAUCAUGGCCCCUUAUGUACCAUGGGCUACACACGUAGCUACAAUGGACUGGUACAAAGCGUAAGCGAAGUCGCGAGAGGGGAGCCAAUCGCUAUAAAAACCAGUCUCAGUUCGGAUUGCAGGCUGCAACUCGCCUGCAUGAAGUCGGAAUUGCUAGUAAUCGGCAGGAUCAGCACGCCUGCGGUGAAUACGUUCCCGGGUCCUUGUACACACCGCCCGUCACACCACGAAAGUGGAUUGUACUAGAAGUCUGCAGGCCGACCCGCAAGGGGGGGCAGCGGCCCAAGGUAUGAUCCAUGAUUGGGGUG